rnacentral:rRNA from 1 species
AUGGCUCGGGCUGUCCUGAGGAACGAUAAAGGGAAUUUUAUUGCAAGGGGUACUUGGAAAAUUGAUCAUUGCGUCGAUGCUCUAACAACGGAAGCUUGGGCUCUCAGAUUCGGUCUUUCACUAGCGCAAUGUGCGGGUUGCAAUCACCUUGUUAUUAAUUCUGAUAAUUAGGAGGUUAUUGAAACGAUGAAUAAUGGCGGACGAAGUGGUGGUGGCAAUUUUUGAUGACUGCUAUUUUUUGCGUGUGAUUUUCCUACCUCUAGGUUUGAACAUUGUAAUAGGGAAGCCAAUAAGGUUGCGCAUGAGUUUGCUAGGUUGGCUAGAUUUUCUUAUACUGUUGAUUGGUUUGAGGAGCCUAUGAUUGAGAUUGUACCAUUCCUCACAAACGAUGUAUCUGCUAUUUCGAUUGAAUAA